rnacentral:rRNA from 1 species
UGGUGGAGUGAUUUGUCUGGUUAAUUCCGUUAACGAACGAGACCUUAGCCUACUAACUAGUCGGUUCAACCUUUGUUGUUCUUGACUUCUUAGAGGGACUUUGUGACUAAACACAAGGAAGUUUGAGGCAAUAACA